rnacentral:rRNA from 1 species
GUUGUGAGGUUAAGCGACUAAGCGUACACGGUGGAUGCCCUGGCAGUCAGAGGCGAUGAAGGGCGUGCUAAUCUGCGAUAAGCGCCGGUAAGGUGAUAUGAACCGUUAUAACCGGCGAUACCCGAAUGGGGAAACCCAGUGUGACUCGUCACACUAUCAUUAACUGAAUCCAUAGGUUAAUGAGGCGAACCGGGGGAACUGAAACAUCUAAGUACCCCGAGGAAAAGAAAUCAACCGAGAUUCCCCCAGUAGCGGCGAGCGAACGGGGAGGAGCCCAGAGCCUGAAUCAGCAUGUGUGUUAGUGGAAGCGUCUGGAAAGGCGCGCGAUACAGGGUGACAGCCCCGUACACAAAAGCGCAUGUGCUGUGAGCUCGAUGAGUAGGGCGGGACACGUGGUAUCCUGUCUGAAUAUGGGGGGACCAUCCUCCAAGGCUAAAUACUCCUGACUGACCGAUAGUGAACCAGUACCGUGAGGGAAAGGCGAAAAGAACCCCGGCGAGGGGAGUGAAAAAGAACCUGAAACCGUGUACGUACAAGCAGUGGGAGCACAGGUUUACCUGUGUGACUG